rnacentral:tRNA from 1 species
CGCGGGGUGGAGCAGCCUGGUAGCUCGUCGGGCUCAUAACCCGAAGGUCGUCGGUUCAAAUCCGGCCCCCGCAG